UGUAGAGUACAACUUGGGAACUUUUUAAC
rnacentral:piRNA from 1 species